rnacentral:rRNA from 1 species
GACGACGCUGGCGGCGUGGAUUAGGCAUGCAAGUCGAACGGUAUCAUCCUUUCGGGGGUGAGAGAGUGGCGAACUGGUGAGUAACACGUAGGUUAUCUACCCUCAAGACGGGACAACCCAGGGAAACUUGGGCUAAUACCGGAUGUGAGCAACUUUAGUUGUUUGAAAGGUGGCGUAAGCUGUCGCUUGGGGAUGAGCCUGCGUCCUAUUAGUUAGUUGGUGAGGUAACGGCUCACCUAGGCAAUGAUAGGUAGGCGGCCUUAACGGGUGGUCGCCCACACUGGGAUUGAGAUACGGCCCAGACUCCUACGGGAGGCAGCAGUCGAGAAUAGUCUACAAUGGUCGGAAGACUGAUAGUGCGACGCCGCGUGAACGAUGAAUCCCUUCGGGGUGUAAAGUUCUUUUAUAUGUGAGCAGUGCUUCUUAUAUUAACAGUAUGAGGAGAGAGAUAUUAGCAUAUGAAUAAGCAACGGCUAACUCCGUG